GCUGGGUGCGGUGGUGCAUGCCUGUAAUCCCAGCUGCUGGGGAGGCUGAGACAGGAUGAUCAAUGAGUUCAAACAAAUCCAGCUUCAGCAAAAAAGCAAGGUGUUAAGCACCUCAGCGAGACCCUGUCUCUA
rnacentral:sRNA from 1 species